ACCAAACAGGACUUUAGUUGACAUUAUGGCUAUUGUAGUCCACUUGGAUACAAUCCAUCGCACAAUGUGGGGUACAUUCAGGAAGAUUGUUAUAAUGGAUGCUAGGUGGUCUUUACAUACCAUUAAAGUUUGGGGCGAUUUACUAAACAAAAAUGCACUCCGCUGGGCGUUGGCUAAUGAGAAUUAUAGCAUCAUAAUUGGG